rnacentral:rRNA from 1 species
CCUACGGGGGGCAGCAGUGGGGAAUAUUGGACAAUGGGGGGAACCCUGAUCCAGCCAUGCCGCGUGUGUGAAGAAGGCCCUCGGGUUGUAAAGCACUUUCAGUGAGGAAGAACGCCUGGUGGUUAAUACCCAUCAGGAAAGACAUCACUCACAGAAGAAGCACCGGCUAACUCCGUGCCAGCAGCCGCGGUAAUACGGAGGGUGCGAGCGUUAAUCGGAAUUACUGGGCGUAAAGCGCGCGUAGGUGGCUUGAUAAGCCGGUUGUGAAAGCCCCGAGCUCAACCUGGGAACGGCAUCCGGAACUGUCAAGCUAGAGUGCAGGAGAGGAAGGUAGAAUUCCCGGUGUAGCGGUGAAAUGCGUAGAGAUCGGGAGGAAUACCAGUGGCGAAGGCGGCCUUCUGGACUGACACUGACACUGAGGUGCGAAAGCGUGGGUAGCAAACAGGAUUAGAUACCCUAGUAGUC